UGGCCACUGGCAGAUGGAAGCUGGCAGCUGUGGGACAGGUGGCUGGAAGUCAGGAGCUGAGAGGGCAGAUGUAACACCAAUCCAGGAGCUCUAGUCUUCGCCUUCACCUUGGACAUCAUCUCCUGGCUUCCAGCGCAGACUCUUCAGCUUCUGGCCCAGAUCUUUCAGCUUUCUGGUGACAUAGACUCUUCAGCCUUCCAGUGUAGUCUCAUUGGCCUCCUGAUACAGACUUACAUGGGACACUGCAGUGAGCUCCAGACCUUCGACUAAAUCCUCAGGUUUCCAGCAUGCAAACAGACCCUCUGCACUCUUUCUCAUCCGACUCUAGCCCUAGAGGCAGAGAAGAUGCAGGCCAUCAUGCCCAUUUCACAGACAGAGAAGCCGACAUCCUGAACAGGUGGAUCAGCCUAGAAAAGGAAGCACAACCUUGUGUGACAUUACCAUGG
rnacentral:lncRNA from 1 species